GACGUAGGGGGCGAGCGUUGUUCGGAAUUACUGGGCGUAAAGAGCUCGUAGGCUGGAGAUUAAGUCUUUAAACAAAUCUCCCGGCUCAACCGGGAACAGUUUAGAGAUACUGAUUUUCUUGAGAACAGGAGAGAGGAAUGGAAUUCCUAGUGUAGCGGUGAAAUGCGUAGAUAUUAGGAGGAACACCAGUGGCGAAGGCGGUUCUCUGGCCUGUUUCUGACGCUGAGGAGCGAAAGCUGGGGGAGCGAACGGG
rnacentral:rRNA from 1 species